CCUACGGGUGGCAGCAGUGAGGAAUAUUGGUCAAUGGGCGCGAGCCUGAACCAGCCAAGUCGCGUGAGGGAGGACGGCCCUACGGGUUGUAAACCUCUUUUGCCGGGGAGCAACGGGCGUCACGUGUGGCGCCACUGAGAGUACCCGGAGAAAAAGCAUCGGCUAACUCCGUGCCAGUAGCCGCGGUAAUACGGAGGAUGCGAGCGUUAUCCGGAUUUACUGGGUGUAAAGGGAGCGCAGACGGCAGUGCAAGUCUGGAGUGAAAGCCUGGGGCCCAACCCCGGAACUGCUCUGGAAACUGUGCGGCUAGAGUACUGGAGGGGCAGGCGGAAUUCCUAGUGUAGCGGUGAAAUGCGUAGAUAUUAGGAGGAACACCAGUGGCGAAGGCGGCCUGCUGGACAGUAACUGACGUUGAGGCUCGAAAGCGUGGGGAGCAAACAGGAUUAGAUACCCGAGUAGUC
rnacentral:rRNA from 1 species